ACAGUACACUCAUCCAUAAAGUAGGAAACACUACACUGUGUAGUCAAGUUUAGUAGUGCUUUCUACUUUAUGGGUGACAACACUGU
rnacentral:pre_miRNA from 1 species